GUGAGGAGCUGCAGCAGGGGAAGGCCACGCUCAUGUGCCUGGCCAACAAGGGCUUCCCCUCAGACUGGAGUCUGGCCUGGAAGGUGGACGGCAGCAGCAGCAGCAGCAGCUGGGAGGAGAGCAGGAGCCCCGGGGUGCUGGAGAAGGACGGCCGCUACAGCUGGAGCAGCACCCUGAGGCUCCCUGCAGACCAGUGGAGGAAGGUGGGCUCUGUGACCUGUGAGGCCACCCAGGGCUCCCAGGCUCUGGUCUCAGAGACACUGAGGAGAGACCAGUGUUCCCAGUCCUGACCUGACUCACUGGGACUCUGCUACUGGUUUUAAUCUGCUUUCUGUAACUCUGUCUCUCUCAGACAAAAGUUUUAAAUAAUGCUAUUUUCUUAUUCAUAGUCACGCGGACUCUGUUAUCUUUUUCAGAUAAUAAAGAUGGUUUUGUUCAAAUCAAAA